rnacentral:rRNA from 1 species
UACAUAUACCAUUCGCCAGGGAACUACAAGCGUAUAGCUUAAAACCCAACGGACUUGGCGGUGCCCCACACCCCACCUAGAGGAGCCUGUUCUAUAACUGAAACUACCCGUUCAACCUCACCACCCCUAGCCCCCAGUCUAUAUACCGCCGUCGCAAGCCCACCCUGUGAAGGAUCAAUAACAAGCUAAAUGGGCAUAGCCCAAAACGUCAGGUCGAGGUGUAGCACAUGGGGUGGAAAGAAAUGGGCUACAUUUUCUAUACCUAGAAUAAACGAAUAAUAGUCAUGAAACACGCUAUUUGAAGGAGGAUUUAGCAGUAAAAAGAAAAUAGAGCGUUCUUUUGA